rnacentral:tRNA from 1 species
GUUUCCUUAGUGUAGUGGUUAUCACGUCUGCUUUACACGCAGAAGGUCCCCAGUUCAAGCCUCGGCGGAUACA